rnacentral:rRNA from 1 species
UACGUAGGGAGCGAGCGUUAUCCGGAAUUAUUGGGUGUAAAGGGUGCGUAGACGGGAGAACAAGUUAGUUGUGAAAUACCUCGGCUCAACUGAGGAACUGCAACUAAAACUGUACUUCUUGAGUGCAGGAGAGGUAAGUGGAAUUCCUAGUGUAGCGGUGAAAUGCGUAGAUAUUAGGAGGAACACCAGUGGCGAAGGCGACUUACUGGACUGUAACUGACGUUGAGGCACGAAAGUGUGGGGAGCAAACAGGAUUAGAUACCCUGGUAGUCCACACCGUAAACGAUGGAUACUAGGUGUAGGAGGUAUUAAGCCUUCUGUGCCGUCGCAAACGCAGUAAGUAUCCCACCUGGGGAGUACGGCCGCAAGGUUGAA